AAGGUUUGUUUCACAGUUGGCCAAUUGUAACAGAAGUGUCCUCCAGGUGGCGAUGUUGGCUAACGUCCACACGCGUGCUGUCAAAGAAGAAGAGCUGUUCUCGCGAGGCUGCGGUUUCCGCGAUCUGCUGUUUUCGAUUUGGCUGUCUCCUCGAGCGGUGCAGCCGCUGUUAAAUCGAAUGAUCUUUCUUAAACAGCUGAAGAGACAGAGGAGGAAUCGGAGUUUUGUCGGGGCUGUAAUACCACAGGGGGAGCUUCAGGGCAUCAUGGCGUGCUGUAACCCCACUCCACCACUAGUGCACCAGCAGAUCAAUGAGCUUCAUCAGCUUCUCCUUUACUCAAGAAACCGCUGGAAAUAACAGAGUAUUGAGCAGCAGCAGAAGGAGGUGCAGGAGAAGCGGAAAGCUAAAGAACGAGCCAAGAAAGCUCAAGAGGACGAAAGAAAGCCAAACUGAGCUACCAGGAGUCACUGCAAAAUGUUCACACUGUUCGGCAGCAAGUAAUGGAAGCAAAGCAAGCUGGACAGAAAAGAGCGAGAGCUGUCAGUGAUUCUGGUGAAGAGAGUCUUAAACCAAACAUUAACGUCUCAAAGACUGAAAGCGAGACAUUGGUGGCAGAUCAGUCAGCUAAACCUGCUCAGAAAAAAACAGAAAAAGAAGAAUGUUUAAGAGCCUGAAGUUCCCGAACAAAACUUCAAACCUUUUGACUACAGCCAGUCAAAUUUUAAAAUAUUCGCUGGGAAAUUAAAUGAGAGUUCACAGUUUGAUCCAAACAGACAAGCACAUGGACCCAAGCAGAAGCUAUUAACCUGUUUUGAAACGACAAGCAUUUACUGUUAUAGAAAUAUCAGCUUGGUUUGAGUUAGCGGUGCAUGAUCACUGAUUGUUUUUACCAAUUUUGAUUCUUAGAAAAACCAAAAAGGACAGAAGAAAAGCUUUGUGGGUGGCAGGAGCAUGUCUUAUGUACCUGCCAAAUCUGACCGGUAACACAUACACACACACACACACACACACACACACACAGAACUAGACUGAAGAAAUUCAUCGUUGCAGGGUUAAGGAAAAAAAGCAUUCAUAUGAUGGGUUUAUUUCUGUUUGCAGAGGCUUUCGCCCACAACUGGCCCAAGAGAUAGAAGUCUUCACCCCCUUUUGAUAAUAAAUCUAUAAUGCUAUAUAAGCAGCACAUUGACUACUAUAAAAUAUAUCCAAGCUUCAUUUCUAUAGUAUUUCCCCCCUUAAAAAAGAUAUACUAAAAUAGUUGCUGAAAUGUGAGGGG